rnacentral:rRNA from 2 species
UACGGAGGGUGCAAGCGUUGUCCGGAUUUAUUGGGUUUAAAGGGUGCGUAGGCGGCCCGUUAAGUCAGUGGUGAAAGCCUCCAGCUCAACUGGAGAACUGCCAUUGAUACUGACGGGCUUGAGUACAGACGAGGUUGGCGGAAUUGAUGGUGUAGCGGUGAAAUGCAUAGAUACCAUCAAGAACUCCGAUUGCGUAGGCAGCUAACUAGGCUGUAACUGACGCUGAGGCACGAAAGCGUGGGGAGCGAACAGG